rnacentral:rRNA from 1 species
UGGGGAAUUUUGGACAAUGGGGAAACCCUGAUCCAGCCAUCCCGCGUGUGCGAUGAAGGCCUUCGGGUUGUAAAGCACUUUUGGCAGGAAAGAAACGUCAUGGGUUAAUACCCCGUGAAACUGACGGUACCUGCAGAAUAAGCACCGGCUAACUACGUGCCAGCAGCCGCGGUAAUACGUAGGGUGCAAGCGUUAAUCGAAAUUACUGGGCGUAAAGCGUGCGCAGGCGGUUCGGAAAGAAAGAUGUGAAAUCCCAGAGCUCAACUUUGGAACUGCAUUUUUAACUACCGGGCUAGAGUGUGUCAGAGGGAGGUGGAAUUCCGCGUGUAGCAGUGAAAUGCGUAGAUAUGCGGAGGAACACCGAUGGCGAAGGCAGCCUCCUGGGAUAACACUGACGCUCAUGCACGAAAGCGUGGGGAGCAAACAGG